rnacentral:rRNA from 1 species
AUUGAACGCUGGCGGCAGGCUUAACACAUGCAAGUCGAGCGGAGCGUCGGACGGGUGAGUAAUGCCUAGGAAUCUGCCUGGUAGUGGUGGAUAACGUCCGGCAACGGGCGCUAAUACCUCAUCCUUUCAGAUUCGCCUAGGUCGGAUUAGCUAGUUGGUGGGUUAAAGGCCUACCAUGGCGACGAUCCGUCACUGGUCUGAAAGGAUGAUCAGUCACACGGGAACUGAAACACGGUCCGGACUCCUACGGGAGGCAGCAGUGGGGAAUAUUGGACAAUGGGCGAAAGCCUGAUCCAGCCAUGCCGCGUGUGUGAAGAAGGUCUUCGGAUUGUAAAGCACUUUAAGUUGGAAGGCGUUACCAACAGAGUAAGCACCGGCUAACUUCGUGCCAGCAGCCGCGGUAAUAC